rnacentral:piRNA from 1 species
UAGGGAUGGGAACUUAACUGGAGGGCG